rnacentral:lncRNA from 1 species
GCCAGCUGCUAAACUGCUGACUCUCCCAGGAUGCUCAAAAGGUACCUGCGGUAUAGUGGUGAACGCAGAGAAUCUUGUACGUCCCAGAUGCAGAAAAUUGUAGCAUCUCUGAUCUUGAGGAAUGUUGGAAGACAAAGUUAAGGAUUUCUCACAGUCUAGAUUCAGAAGGUUCUUCUCCAGUGUGCUUGCUUUUAUGUCUAUGUGGGUUUAACGAGUCAACAAAGGCUUCCUUGUCAUUACAGCAUCUGUAGUUAUUAGAGGUUUCUGUAGUGUCACUUCUUUUAUAAAGUACACAGUUGGGGGGGUUCAUGAAGCAUUUCACCAAUCUUAUUACACUGACAAGACUCCUUUUCGGUCUUUACAUGUUGAGGGACAGUAUCACAUGUACAGUUCUUUAAAACCAAAUCAGAUUAAUAGGGUUUGUUCCAAAAUUAAACAUUUGGUAAAUGGUUGUCUCCAUAGGUUCUUUCUUACAAUAAGUCAACCAGAAACUACUUAGAUGUAUUUCUUUUACUGUAAUUUUAUGUAUUCCCACAACAAUGGCCUGACAGCCUUCAAGGGUCUGUGAUUUACAAUAGAUAUCUCAUCAUUAUAGAAAAUGUAUACUGGCUCGAGAUGGACCAAAUAAUUGAGGAGUUAGUAACUGGUUUUGGGGUAGAGCUCAAAUGGCUGAUUGUACUCAGAAUACAUGUUUCUAUUCAGAAACUAGUGACAAAUUUAAUGAAAUCCCAGGCUCACAGUGUUUGUACUCAGUAAUACACAGUAACAAAUAUUACUGUCCAAGAAACCUAAAUCUUUCUAAUAAUUACUUAAAAGCAUCAACACGUUUGUCUGUUUGAUUUUUCUUAUUGUUUUUUUGGGGGUUUUGUUUCGUUUUGUUUUGUUUUUUUGAGACAGGGUUUCCCUGUGUAGCACUGGCUGUCCUGGAACACACUUUGUAGACCAGGCUGGCCUCGAACUCAGAAAUCCACCUGUCUCUGCCUCCCAAGUGCUGGGAUUAAAGGCGUGUGCCACCACGCCUGGCUGGGUUUUUUUUUUUUUUUUCUUUAAAAAACACACUAUAUUAUUGAAAAGUAAUGGAAGCAAAGCAAGUAUUUUUCAGAUAUCAGAGACUUUAGAAUACAGAACCUAGAUCAUUUGAGGGAGAGCUGUCAGGUGCAACGAUUGCUUAUUUCUUUCCUACACUGUCUGAAUUACAUACACUGCCAGAUAUCUUUAUUUUCCUUAUAUGGUUAUUCUCAAGCUUACUCUGUAUAAUAAUUCUUGAGAUUAUUUUCCAGAAGGGUGUCGGUGUAUUCUCCACUAGGAAGAAAAUGAAGGAUGUAAUAUGAAGACAUGCAUGCAAAAAAAGUAAAUCAUGGGUACUGGAGAGAUGGCUCAGUGGUUAAGAGCACUGACUUCUCUUCCAAAGGUCCUAAGUUCAAUUCCCAGCAACUACAUGGUGGCUUACAACCAUCUGUAAUGGGAUAUAAUGCCUUCUCAUAAGUCUGAAAACAGCUAUAGUGUACUCAUAUACAUAAUGAAGAAAAUAAAGUAAUUACAGAAUGUUAUUCUGUAAUUACAGAAGUUACUUCGUGGCUUCAUGUCAGACUCAUAAUUUUGUAAAUUAUUCCAAUCUGAUGUCAUCAUAAUCAAGGAAAAUUCCAUUUUGUGCUAGCGUUAAUUUGAUAAUUCAGGUGCAAUAAGGCACAAUAUCUUCAACUAGUUACAACAGGCAGGAUACAUCCUGGAGGCACAAUAUUAAGCUAAAUGAUUGGGAAUCAUUUCAGGUGGAAUUCAAUGUAGCAAACAUAUUUUCAGCUCUUGGUUUCUCCUUCACCUGAAACCUUUACUGUUGUCCUACUCAUUCACUAGCUCACCCUAGUAGUGAGCCAGAUGAGGCUACUCUCUCUCUCUCCUCUCCACAUUCCAUGGUAAACUCAAUUGGUCCAGACAGGUAACCAGGUCUACCUUGUAUACAAAAAUCCACAUAUAUUCUGUGAUCCAUGCAAUGAUUUUUUAAAAAAAGAAUACAGAUGUCCAAUACAACACUAUGCUCAGUACAUGAAGACAACACAAAGUAGAGACAGCCAGGAAUGAUUUCCCAAUUCUAUUUCCUGUCAGAAUCUUAAGUUUUCUUGGGGAGACUUUUAAGUGUUCAUAUGGUGAGUUUUUCUUCUCACAAUUAAAAUCCUGUAAUUACAAUUAUGGACAUGGAGCUGUAAAACAUGGAGUUAAAUAUUAUAUGAUAGUAUGUUUCUUAAUGCAUUGGGAAAACCAAAUAAAGGUUGCAUGAUUCCUCUAGAAUGAGAAAUGGAAUGAAUAAAUCAUAUACCCUG